UGGGGAAUUUUGGACAAUGGGGGAAACCCUGAUCCAGCCAUCCCGCGUGUGCGAUGAAGGCCUUCGGGUUGUAAAGCACUUUUGGCAGGAAAGAAACGUCAUGGGUUAAUACCCCGUGAAACUGACGGUACCUGCAGAAUAAGCACCGGCUAACUACGUGCCAGCAGCCGCGGUAAUACGUAGGGUGCAAGCGUUAAUCGGAAUUACUGGGCGUAAAGCGUGCGCAGGCGGUUCGGAAAGAAAGAUGUGAAAUCCCAGAGCUCAACUUUGGAACUGCAUUUUUAACUACCGGGCUAGAGUGUGUCAGAGGGAGGUGGAAUUCCGCGUGUAGCAGUGAAAUGCGUAGAUAUGCGGAGGAACACCGAUGGCGAAGGCAGCCUCCUGGGAUAACACUGACGCUCAUGCACGAAAGCGUGGGGAACAAACAGG
rnacentral:rRNA from 1 species